rnacentral:rRNA from 1 species
UGAGACACGGUCCAGACUCCUUACGGGAGGCAACCAGUGGGGAAUUUUGGCCAAUGGGGGCAACCCUGAUCCAGCAAUGCCGCGUGAAUGAAGAAGCCUUUCGGGUUGUAAAGUUUUUUGUCAGGGAAGAAACGGUGAGGUCUAAUACACUUUACUAAUGACGGUACCUGAAGAAUAAGCACCGGCUAACUACGUGCCAGCAGCCGCGGUAAUACGUAGGGUGCAAGCGUUAAUCGGAAUUACCGGGCGUAAAGCGUGCGCAGGCGGUUAUAUAAGUCAGAUGUGAAAUCCCCGGGCUCAACCUGGGAACUGCAUUUGAGACUGUAUGGCUAGAGUGUGUCAGAGGGGGGUAGAAUUCCACGUGUAGCAGUGAAAUGCGUAGAUAUGUGGAGGAAUACCGAUGGCGAAGGCAGCCCCCUGGGAUAACACUGACGCUCAUGCACGAAAGCGUGGGGAGCAAACAGGAUUAGAUACCCUGGUAGUCCACGCCCUAAACGAUGUCUACUAGUUGCUGGGUCUUAAUUGACUUAGUAACGCAGCUAACGCGUGAAGUAGACCGCCUGGGGAGUACGGUCGCAAGAUUAAAACUCAAAGGAAUUGACGGGGACCCGCACAAGCGGUGGAUGAUGUGGAUUAAUUCGAUGCAACGCGAAAAACCUUACCUACCCUUGACAUGUACAGAAUGCCGAAGAGAUUUGGCGGUGCUCGCAAGAGAACUGUAACACAGGUGCUGCAUGGCUGUCGUCAGCUCGUGUCGUGAGAUGUUGGGUUAAGUCCCGCAACGAGCGCAACCCUUGUCAUUAGUUGCUACAUUAAGUUGAGCACUCUAAUGAGACUGCCGGUGACAAACCGGAGGAAGGUGGGGAUGACGUCAAGUCCUCAUGGCCCUUAUGGGUAGGGCUUCACACGUCAUACAAUGGUACAUACAGAGGGCCGCCAACCCGCGAGGGGGAGCUAAUCCCAGAAAGUGUAUCGUAGUCCGGAUUGUAGUCUGCAACUCGACUACAUGAAGUUGGAAUCGCUAGUAAUCGCGGAUCAGCAUGUCGCGGUGAAUACGUUCCCGGGUCUUGUACACACCGCCCGUCACACCAUGGGAGCGGGUUUCACCAGAAGUCGGUAGAUUAACCGCAAGGAGGGCGAUUACCACGGUGGGAUUCGUGAGUGGGGUGAAGUCGUAACAAG